GACCAAAUGUUUGUGCCUCCCCAGAAUUCAUGUUAAAAUCCAAACCCCCAAUGUGAUGAUGUUAGGAGGUGGGGUUUGGGGAGGCUGACCGGGUCACGAGGGUGGAUCUGUCAUGAAUGCCAUUAGCCAGUGUCUGUGCCUUCUCCUUCUGGCACGUGAGGACGCGCAACAAGCUGGCCAUCCGCGACGGGGAGGAAGGAGGUCCACGGGGGCGCCAGACUACAGAACUCGGAGCAGCCACUGUCUGGGUCCAUAGGCCACCCGGUCUACAGUAAUCUGUCCAGCAGCCAGUGCCGACGGAGACAGGUGGACAGACAUCAUUUGCAUAUUCAAACACAGCACAGGUGUUUAAGGAAGGGGAAAAGGAGAGCCCUAGAGAGAGAAUAUACAAGAGAGAACCAACAUUCAGACUGCACAGGAUUUUUGCAGCUUACCCAGCUGACUUUCAAACCUAAACGCCAGCGAGAUGAUUUAACUCAAAUGUGCUCGGGCACAGAGGAAAUGUGACCUGAAAGACGGUCUUUGUGGUAGAAGGAGAGCCGGCAGAUACUUAUUUCCUGCCUCUCCAAGGCCAGUAACAUCCUGGUACAAGCGGAGCCAUCAAUACAUCUUUCAUAAGGGCCUCUCUGCACAGUGAGGUGGAAAAUCUUUCCAAUGACUCUGGCCCAUUUGUAACUCUGCCCUGAAUAAAAGAAGGAAUUGA